UGGCCAAACUCCAUAAAAUAGUUGAAGAGA
rnacentral:piRNA from 1 species